rnacentral:rRNA from 1 species
GACGAACCGCCCGAACGUUAUUCGGAAUCACUGGGCUUAAAGGGAGCGUAGGCGGGCUGCCAAGUCCGGGGUGAAAUCCUCCAGCUUAACUGGAGAACUGCCUCGGAUACUGGAAGUCUCGAGGAGGGUAGGGGCAAGUGGAACCGUGGGUGGAGCGGUGAAAUGCGUUGAUAUCCAUGGGAACGCCGGUGGCGAAGGCGACUUGCUGGACCCUUUCUGACGCUGAGGCUCGAAAGCCAGGGGAGCAAACGGG